GGAAAAGGACUGUGGCUUAGUGGUAGAGCAUCUGCUUUACAUGCACAAGACUCCGGGUUCAAUCCCUGGCUUCUCCA